AGAGAAUUGAGACAACUGGAAACCUGCCUGAACUCUCAACUUGGCGUAUGGGUAUGCAGAUACACCUGACAGCAAUGACAUAACUGGGCCUAAUGCCUUACAUCGGAUGGGUGCUAAAGACAUAAACUUCUUGUCCUGAACUGGAAUUCAUUUGUUGCUACAUGCCGCUAGCCUUUUCUUCUCCCAUUUUACCCAGGCCGACUCUUUGAGUGGCAUCCAGGCCAGCUUCGCCAUGAGGGCAGCUCCUCCGAAUCUGUCCUGCCUGACGGAGGCCCUCCACCAAGACUCCCACAGCUGGGGAGCCACCGCAGAGAGGCUGUGCCUUGCAAAUGCAGAGGGUCACAGCUGGAA